rnacentral:lncRNA from 1 species
AAAAACAAAUCUGCAUUUAAGUUGUUUCCAUUUUCUUUUUGCAUUGCAUAUCAAGUCUAAAAAUUCAAAAAAAAAUCAUCCUAGUUAUUGUUUCAUAUCAUGUUAGUUGAUCCAUUUCGUGCUUGCGUCAAAAAAUAAAAAUAAAAUAUUUUUUUACCAUAGUUUAUAUCAUCUUGCUGGUUAAAUUGUUUGCAUAUUAAGAAAACUAAAAAAAAAAAAAAACAGUGUUAGUUUUCUUUCUAUAUUUUCUUUUCAUUUGUGUUCAUUAUCAUUCCAUAUUGAUUCAUUUUGUGUUUGCAUUGAGAAAACCAAAAGAAAAAUCAUUUUGCAUAAUUUAUUUCAUUUCGGUUCAAAUUAGCAUAUUUGUUUUUCGGUUUAGUUUUAAUUAGCUUGCAUUUUUGGCUCUUAUUUUGAUUCGACGAGAAAUUUCCAUACCUUCACUUGAUCUUUGAGAGUGUUUUCAGGAAGCCAUGGUAGGAAAAACACAUGGCCAAUGUCAGAUGGCCAAACAGAACCAACAGUUG